rnacentral:lncRNA from 1 species
AUUAUUCACCACCUGUGCACAUACAUACUUGCUCCUAUCAAUCAACUAACGCCAAACGCUGCUGCUGUACUCUACACACGCAUACACCUUUCCUCCUCCUGUUGCUUGCUGCUUCCCAUCUGCUAGCUCAGGCACGCCGGAGGACUCAACGUCGGUAGCCUUCAACAAAGGUGAGACAUGGUGGUUUGGUAAUACAAAUUAGGACGCCUUCCCUUUCUUGCAAUUCAGAUAUGGUUGCAUAUUUGGCUCUUGGUUUGAGCACAUCAUCACAGGCCAAGAAGCUUUUCAUGAUAGGAUCAAGGAUUUAGCGCUUGGUUUGGGCAUAUUGUCACAAAUCGAGUGGCUUGUUCUUAGAUUUACAUAUAUAUCUUGUUGCAUAUUUGGUUUUUGGCUUGGGCAUAUUGUCACGAGUCAAGAAGCACCUCAUAAUAGGAUCAAGAAUUAUACUCUUGAUUUGGGCAUAUUGUCACAAAUCAAGAGGCUUAUUCUUACAUUUACAUGUUGCAUCAUCGCUAUAAAUUGUUAUAAACUUUCUACAUGCUCUUGAUCAUGCUGCGCACGCGGGCAUAUUGUCACACGAUGCUAGCAUCAAUACAAAUGAGUCACACGGUGUUAGUAUUAAUAUAAAUGAAAUAUGCUACAUGUGGGCAUAUUGUCACACGGUGCUAGCAUCAACACAAAUGAAUUGUACUACACGUGAGCAUAUUCUCACACGGCGUUAGUAUUAAUAAAACCGAAACAUGCUACACGUGGUCAUAUGGUCACAUGAUGUUGGCGUUAAUAUGAUUGCAACAGAAAUAUAAAACCAUAUAAAUAUGUUGACUAAUUUUUUUAGUCGCACGUUCAUUUAAGGCUAGAAAACUAGUCUUACAUGCUACAAGAUGUUUCAUAUAAAUUAAAAUUGAACCAUUUAGUUACUAUGCUACUCAUAUAUCAGCAUAGAUGAAUUUUAGCCAUAUGUUAGCAUAAAUAAAAAUCAAGGCUUCUUCCAGCACGCCGACAUCGACGACAACGAGGAGGACUUUUAUUUUUAUAGUUUUAGUAUAUUCAUGUGUUGCAAUGUUAUAUAAUGGUUAUGUUGGAAUUUCUUAAUCAGGGGUUUUCUCUUCGGAGAUGUAAUUAACAUAAUUUUUAUUUAUUUUUACGCUUUUACUCAUUUUAUUUAUACUAUCUGUCUCUAUGACGUGGACACGUAUUCCCCGCACCAUUUUCCUGUCAUCAGAUGCAUGAUAGAGUUGCGGACAUUACAAAGACUAUAGAAACAUAUGACGAUGGUGUGGUCCAUCCGUGGCAGCGCCCCGACGCAUGGCAGAUCCACGGAUGCCAUGGUAUCUAUUUCUCUUUCUUUUUAUUUUUUAACCGUCCGCGACGAUGACACGAUGCGGAUAGAACUGUGGAUCUCACAAAUUUGUAGACGGCAAUGGUGGUCCAUCCGUGGCUGCGACACGGCACCAGGUAGAGCCACGGAUGCCAUAGUCUCUUUCUCUUUUAUUUUUGUUAACCGUCCGCGACGACGACACGGCGCCGGGUAGAGCCGCGGACCUCAACAAUUUUAUAUACGGCCAUGGUGGUCCAUCCGUGGCUGUGACACUGCGCUAGGUAGAGCCACAGAUGUCAUACUAUCUCUUUUUCUCUUUUUUUGUUAACCGUCCGCGACGACGACACGGCGCCGGGUAGAGCCGCAGACCUCAAGAUUUAUAUACGGCGAUGGUGGUCCAUCCGUGGCUGCGACACGGCGCCAGGUAGAGCCACAGAUGUCACAAAAACAUCUUCCCGGUAUCAAAUGAUUAUCCGCGACGACGACACGACGCCGGGUAGAGCCGCAGACAUCAUGAAUAUGUAGAACGUAUGGCAAGGGUGGUCUAUCCAUGGCUGCGACACGGCUCUAGGUAGAACCACGGAUGCCACAAAAAUGUAGAAACACCUGUAAUUAAAGAGAAAAAGAACAUAGUAAUAAUCGUCGCAUGCUAACUUCAUGCGAUUUACUCACCAUGUGGUUACGCCAUCGACGACCCUCGUGGAAGCCUCCGGAUGAAUCGAUCUUGUAGUGGAGUGGAUCAAAGAUGAUAUGCGGUGAUUGUGUUUGCCAAGGGUGAACGAUGAUCUGCUUGGCCGGAGGGGAGAUAAUCUGGUUGUGUGUGCGUGUGAUUGUAUAUCACUGAUCGAGAGCAGAACCUGGCCGCCCUCUCGCUCUGAUUGACCUGACGUGGUCUUGCCUUGAUGCUGCCCCUAUGAGUUCUUUCUGGCGGCCGCCGCCGUCCUCCUGGCCUCCUGGGCGAUCAACAUAUAUACUGCUCUUUUGUAGCUCCCCUUGCCGAACGUGCAGGCCAUCAGGAUAAGCAUGACGGCCAACGGCUGAAAACGUUUAUCUAAAUUUCAGGAGCUGUUCGGUUUCAGUAGGCAUAGCUUGACGUACGUGAUUUGAACUGCCCUAUCAAUCCCUAUCAAUCCGUGAACAUCUAUAAAUAUGCUGUCACCCUCUGCUAAACAAACUUGAUGCGUGUAGUAACUGAUAUGUGGGCCCAUGCAUGCAUGGCCGAUCAGCAUUGGCAGCCAAAUUUAUUAUCUUGGUAAUUAAAGCAAAUGAUCACACGUACUUGUAUUACUGCAGCCUGAGCACAUCGGAUUUUUUAUAUGAGACAUCCCAUCUAUUCGUGUUGCAGUGCCAUGAUCCUUAACGAGUAUCUCUUUGAAACAAAUAUAUCUAGGUGAAGGACAAUGCGGGAGCAGCUUGGGGUGUGGGAGAUUCUUGCAGAAGACGUCGCCGAACACUGCUCAGGGCGUCGCAUCGAGCGUUGUCAGGCCGCGCAUCACGUGCCCAAGAGUUAGCACAACUUCUAAAUGUUAACUACUGCCUCAUAUGGAGUUUUACCAUACACUUUGUCAAAUUGCAAUCCUUUCCGGGCAUAAUUUCCAUCAUCUUCAGAACAUUCAACCUAGAAAAAUGUCCAAGCAAUAUGUGCUACUGUCAAUAUCACGUAUGAUACCUA